GUGAGGAAUAUUGGUCAAUGGGCGCAAGCCUGAACCAGCCAUCCCGCGUGCAGGAAGACGGCCCUAUGGGUUGUAAACUGCUUUUCCAGAAGGCGAAUUGUCUCGUCGUGACGGGAUUUGACGGUAUUUUGGGAAUAAGCAUCGGCUAACUCCGUGCCAGCAGCCGCGGUAAUACGGAGGAUGCGAGCGUUAUCCGGAUUCAUUGGGUUUAAAGGGUGCGUAGGCGGACUAUUAAGUCAGUGGUGAAAUCCCUCCGCUUAACGGAGGAACUGCCAUUGAUACUGAUAGUCUUGAGUUUGGUUAAGGUAGGCGGAAUGUGUAAUGUAGCGGUGAAAUGCUUAGAUAUUACACAGAACACCGAUUGCGUAGGCAGCUUACUGGGCCGACACUGACGCUGAGGCACGAAAGCGUGGGGAUCGAACAGGAUUAGAUACCCCGGUAGUCC
rnacentral:rRNA from 1 species